UACGUAGGGUGCGAGCGUUGCCCGGAUUUAUUGGGCGUAAAGGGCGCGUAGGCGGCUCGACACGUUCGUUGUGAAAUCGCCCGGCUCAACUGGGCGGGGUCAGCGAAUACGGUCGAGCUUGAGCAAGCUAGGGGGCAAUGGAAUUCCCGGUGUAGUGGUGGAAUGCGUAGAUAUCGGGAGGAACACCAGUGGCGAAGGCGGUUGCCUCGGGCUUUGCUGACGCUGAUGCGCGAAAGCGUGGGGAGCAAACAGG
rnacentral:rRNA from 1 species